AAAAAUGAAACAAUGGAAGAACACAACUUUAUAAAUGUUAUUUUUAUUUUUAUUGUUGUUUUAUCUUCAUGUAUGUGUCUGUGCCCUGCUUACGUGCCUGGAUCUCACGGAAAACAAACAAAAACAUUGCAUGGCCUGGGACUGGGAAGAUGGAGAGAAGCCUGCGCUCUUAACCACUGAACCACCUUUUAAGGCCUCAGAAAAAUACAGCUCUAAGCACAGCAAUCAUGAGUGUUUAAAACAUUUAAAGUUUAUAGUGAUAUAGAGCUUUUUCUUUCCAGAUAUAUUUCCCUUAUCUUGUUGUUUUAUACAUCCAAAUGCUUUGCAUUUAGGACAGGCUUCAAUUAUUUAAAUGUUCCUCUACAUGGAGCACCAGGACGUUUUUGGUUAUUAAAUGAUGUGACUACCGGGAUCCUAUCCUUAUUUAUUAUAGAAAAUAUUGUAUUGAUUAUUGCAAUCUACCCUCUGAAUUUUGGAUCUUUCCCUUGGCCUUUCCUAUCAUGCUUAUAAAUCUUAAAAGACUAUUAUUAAAAUGUUAAAUAAAUAACAA
rnacentral:lncRNA from 1 species